rnacentral:misc_RNA from 1 species
GAUGAAGAACGUAGCGAAAUGCGAUAAGUAAUGUGAAUUGCAGAAUUCAGUGAAUCAUCGAAUCUUUGAACGCACCUUGCGCUCUUUGGUAUUCCGAAGAGCAUGCCUGUUUGAGUGUCAUGAAAAUAUCAACCUUGACUGGGGUUUUGUGCUCUAGUCUCGGCUUGGAAUUGGGUGCUUGCCGCUUUUACGAGCGGCUCACCUUAAAUGUAUUAGCUGGAUCUGUCUUUGAGACUUGGUUUGACUUGGCGUAAUAAGUAUUUCGCUAAGGACAUUCUUCGGAGUGGCCUCGUUUCUAGGACGCUUGUCCGCUUUCCAAUACAAGUUCCACCUCGUGGACAUGACUUUUUAUUAUCUGGCCUCAAAUCAGGUAGGACUACCCGCUGAACUUAAGCAUAUCAAAGCGGAGGA